AACGAACGCUGGCGGCAUGCCUAACACAUGCAAGUCGAACGAAGGCUUCGGCCUUAGUGGCGCACGGGUGCGUAACGCGUGGGAAUCUGCCCUUGGGUUCGGAAUAACGUCGGGAAACUGACGCUAAUACCGGGUGAUGACGUAAGUCCAAAGAUUUAUCGCCCAAGGAUGAGCCCGCGUCGGAUUAGCUAGUUGGUGAGGUAAAAGCUCACCAAGGCGACGAUCCGUAGCUGGUCUGAGAGGAUGAUCAGCCACACUGGGACUGAGACACGGCCCAGACUCCUACGGGAGGCAGCAGUGGGGAAUAUUGGACAAUGGGCGAAAGCCUGAUCCAGCAAUGCCGCGUGAGUGAUGAAGGCCUUAGGGUUGUAAAGCUCUUUUACCCGGGAUGAUAAUGACCGUACCGGGAGAAUAAGCUCCGGCUAACUCCGUG
rnacentral:rRNA from 1 species